UCUAAGAGUGGCAGAAAAUUGCCAUGAACUUAAAAUUCAUUCAUAAACAAAAUUAAUUUCCUUAGAA
rnacentral:tRNA from 1 species